rnacentral:rRNA from 1 species
CCCUAUGGGGUGCAGCAGGCAUGGACGAGAAUCUUCAGCUUGGCCAUGGGUCUAUUGUACCAGGACUUCAGUUGAGGUGUUCGAUCCGCUCUUCGAUCUCGCGGACCUUCUUGUUCACGGCGUCGAUGCGGAAAUAGACGAGCGGCAGGUCCGCCUGAUCGAUCCGGGUCUCAUCCAGGGCUUUGCCCAUGCUCUCGAACAGGGGCUCCAUCAGCCGCUGGAUCUCGACGAUCCUGUCCUGGACGCGCUCCUUGUUCUUCAGCCAUUCCCGGAGUUCCCGCUCGUGGCUCCGCGCGGCGAGCGUCUGCGCGUUAUCGAUCUCGCCGAUCCUCUCGUUGAAGAUCCCGAUCCGGGCCUCGGCCUCGCCGUGGCGCUUCUCGAGCUCCUGGCGCUCCUCGUGGAGGAGAGGCAUCUUCCCCUGGAGAGC